GCCCCUGGCCGCCGAGAGACACAUCCAGAGUUCCAGACCCAGUCAUGGACGCAUCGAGCCAGCCGCUCGCUUCCUUUCGCGACCUCCCGAUUUCGCCGUCUCGCUCGCUCGUCGCUCGCCGUCCCCGCCUAUGUAGCUGAUCGUUGGGCGCCCAGGACCACAUCCUGUCCGUCCCGUCCGCUCGGUGUUUGGGGCUCGGCGGCGGCCGCGCCACCUCAACUGCGCAGUCGUGCCCCUGCAAGCCGGCGUCGCCGCCCCAUCCGCACAUCGGCGCUCGGCCAAGAGGCAGCAGCCAGGCAGCUACCAUCUGUGUUGAUUUGAGAAGCCACGAAAUUGAGGUACGCAGAAGAUCAACAAACCCGAGAACUGAUGAUCCAACGAUGAGUCGGAGUUGGAGCAUCACAUAGCCGUCAGCUAUGGUUGCUUGUAGGCGGAUGUGUCUCAGACCUAAGUUGUUGCCGCUGGACCGUGGUUACAUGCAUCCUUGCUUGGAGGCAGCAGUGCUGGGAGAUAUGCAUGUGCAAGGCGAAGAAGUGGACAAAGGCCGAAGAAGCAAUAUGGUGAUCGAGCGCUGCGCUUCAGCGGGUGCCUCGCUGACGACGGGGAAGGAAGGAUCAGAAGUGACGGCUAUAGCGCUAGGAAGUUGGAAACCCUAGCAAUUGAUCUUCUCUAUAAAACAUGUGUGGCAGGGGACGUGGAACCUGCUUCAGGGAAGAAGAGAUGGAUCACGCGAGAGAAGAGAUCAGCUUUCAUCCUUUAUCGGAGAGACAAUUUUUUUUUUUUGCCAAUUGCCUAGUCCAUAUUGUCCAUGUGUUCGAUGCAUGCAAACGUGUGGCUCUUGGAGUUUGUAGGUAGACCUGCCAUAUUACUCUCGGAUACGUGUAAGAGCUUUAUUUUUCUAUUUCCCCUUUUUUUUCUUUCUAAUUCGGGCAUGCAUCAGUUCAUGCGUGAUUGUAUUGGACUCAAACAAUACGUGUUCAUGUAGUCCUUCCAGUGCGCGCUAGUGUUAUGGUUCUAUGCAUCUAACGUGACAACAUAUAAGUUCAAGAUGUUCAAUA